CUGGCGCAAAAUCAUCAGCUUGAAGCUCAGCGCAUCCCACAGGAGUCAUGGAGAAGUCUAAGGCUGAAAUCUUCCUGAAUAAACACAGAUGCAUCAUUAUAGAAAAUGUAAGAAAAGUAGACAAGUUGGUUGAUUUUCUGACUCAAUCAGAUGAUAAUGGGAGAAGAGUUCUAAGUAAGGAAAUGGUCAACAACAUCUCUGCAAAGGACACAGAGGAGGAGAAAAUGCGCGAAGUAUAUAAACAGCUAAACUGCAACAGAGGAUUUGAGUUGACACUAACAUGGCUAAAGAAGAAUGAGCCUUUUUUGAUUGAAGCUUUGGAAAGCAGACAGACAACCAGUGAAGCUCCACCUCAAAAGAGGUUCAGAAGUUCUGAACAUGCAGAAGAUGUGGACGAAACAGACCUGAAUAAACCUAGUCUGAAGACAUUUUCCACGUUGGCCAAACUGGAAAGAUGGGUCUCUGACUCUAAAAACAGCCAAGACCUGAUGGAUAAGUUGGAGAAAAGAAUCCAAACAAAAGGAUUGGAGGCUCUGAAGGAACAACUGAAGAACAUGAAAAUUAAAAAAGAUUUAUGUUUUACAGAAUGAUCACGUGCAGUAUAAAAGACUGAGUUUCAAUAAGGGGAACAAAUGAGAGAGAUGGACCCUCAUAAAGACUGAAUUAUGUUUUUUUUUUUUUUUCAACCCAUGUAAUUCAUGCAAUUUCUGUAACAUUUCAACCUAUGUAAUUCUUACAGCUCUUGUUUAAUGGUUCAGUUUUUUUUUAUUGUACAAUUUUGGUUUAAGACGGUACAAACUGUUCAUAAAAUUCUUACUUCUCUCGUCAUAAAACUACUUAUUCUGUAUCUUUUUUAGUACUGAUUGAAAGGUCCUCAUCACCUUGCAAAUCAGAGGAAGAAUGAUAUAUUCAUUUCAGUGUGUAGCAUUAUUGAUGUAAUAUGAUAUAUCAACAGUGACUUGAUAUUAAUCUGGAAAUCCAGAAGUUAAUGUAUGCCAUAUCAAAAACAUUCAGCUGUUUAAUUGUGUAGAUUCUCUAUGUACACAUGUAAUUGUUCAUUUAAUGUUUUUAAUUUGUGUCUUUUUUCACAAAUAAACAAUUUUGUGCACUUCA
rnacentral:lncRNA from 1 species